UUCAGCAUUAACAUUUUGCUG
rnacentral:piRNA from 1 species